rnacentral:rRNA from 1 species
UACGUAGGGUGCAAGCGUUGUCCGGAAUUAUUUGGGCGUAAAGAGCUCGUAGGCGGUUUGUCGCGUCUGCUGUGAAAACUGGAGGCUCAACCUCCAGCUUGCAGUGGGUACGGGCAGACUAGAGUGCGGUAGGGGAGAUUGGAAUUCCUGGUGUAGCGGUGGAAUGCGCAGAUAUCAGGAGGAACACCGAUGGCGAAGGCAGAUCUCUGGGCCGUAACUGACGCUGAGGAGCGAAAGCGUGGGGAACGAACAGG